AGUGAACGCUGGCGGUAGGCCUAACACAUGCAAGUCGAACGGCAGCACAGUAAGAGCUUGCUCUUACGGGUGGCGAGUGGCGGACGGGUGAGGAAUACAUCGGAAUCUACUUUUUCGUGGGGGAUAACGUAGGGAAAUUUACGCUAAUACCGCAUACGACCUACGGGUGAAAGCAGGGGAUCUUCGGACCUUGCGCGAUUGAAUGAGCCGAUGUCGGAUUAGCUAGUUGGCGGGGUAAAGGCCCACCAAGGCGACGAUCCGUAGCUGGUCUGAGAGGAUGAUCAGCCACACUGGAACUGAGACACGGUCCAGACUCCUACGGGAGGCAGCAGUGGGGAAUAUUGGACAAUGGGCGCAAGCCUGAUCCAGCCAUACCGCGUGGGUGAAGAAGGCCUUCGGGUUGUAAAGCCCUUUUGUUGGGAAAGAAAAGCAGCGGGUUAAUACCCCGCUGUUCUGACGGUACCCAAAGAAUAAGCACCGGCUAACUUCGUG
rnacentral:rRNA from 1 species